rnacentral:lncRNA from 1 species
UGAGGAGAGGCAGGAGAAAAUACGGCGCGCUCGGCAUCGUCCUUCUGACCGGGGACUCCAGCAUCUCAGUCAUCGCGUCACCAAGCCCCACGGACUAUGGAAAGACUACAUUUCUCAACCUUCCUAGUAGAUGUGAUGUCACCAGUCGGAAUUGGGCAGAAGAAUGUAUCACUUCAGUCCAAGGCAAUUAAGUCAACAGCAAUUUAUUUACGGAUUACCUACUCAGUUGGUGCCAAGCCUGGUUCUAGAUGCUGAAGACAGAGCCUAGAUCAAGAUUGACUUGGUCCUGGCUUUCCUGAAGUUCCCAGCCUGGUAGAAGAGACAUAAUAAACAACUAGCAAACACAGAAAUGUGAUUCUUUCUGGGAGUAUUAGGUGCUCUGAAAGGAAGAACAAGGGUGAUGUGAUAGACGCUGAUUGGGAUGGGAGCUUUUUCAGAUUGGAUGACAGGAAAGGUCUUCUGAAAUCUGCCUGGUAUGUAGGAGCUAGCCUCUAAAAGUUGUGGAGGAAGAGCACUAGGAGAGGGGUGCAGCCAGGGCAAAGCCUCCAAGGUGGGGCUAAGCUUGGCAGUGGGAUUUCAGUGCAGUGAAUAAGGCUAAAGAGUAGGAAGAGGUAAGAUCAGUGAUGUGGGCAGGGGCCAGAUCAAGCAGGGCCUUGAAGGCCAUGGUAAAGGGUUUGGUAUUUGCUUUGACUAUGCUGGAGAGCCUUUCAAGGGUUUUAAGCAAGAGGAACUUGAGAUGACUUAAGAUUUUUGUUUUUGUUUUUGAGACAGUCUUGUUCUGUUGCUCAGGCUGGAGUGCAGUGGCGCAAUCUUG